UACGAAGGGGGCUAGCGUUGCUCGGAAUUACUGGGCGUAAAGCGCACGUAGGCGGCUCUUUAAGUCGGGGGUGAAAUCCUGGAGCUCAACUCCAGAACUGCCUUCGAUACUGAAGAGCUCAGUCCGGGAGAGGUGAGUGGAACUGCGAGUGUAGAGGUGAAAUUCGUAGAUAUUCGGAAGAACACCAGUGGCGAAGGCGGCUCACUGGUCCGGUACUGACGCUGAGGUGCGAAAGCGUGGGGAGCAAACAGGG
rnacentral:rRNA from 1 species